CCAAGCAUUAAACCUAACAUGGGGCCCUUCUAAACGGAGGCACCAUGAGACUGCACAGCUCGCAUGUCCACAGAGCCAGGCUUUUCCAGGGGCCUGGAAGUCUUCAUGGGCUGAAGUCAGGCUGCACGUCUUUUGAAAAUAAUUACAAGCCUCAUUUUCCAUUCAUCUCUAUUGCAUGAGUUUCAGGCAGUCAGGCUGUGCAUAGCUAAUCAAAGCCAGAGCCGAAGGCCGCCCAGUUUGAUCUCAGAACAAGCAGACGGAGGCUGCAGAGGCUUGUGUGUGAACUUUGUAAGGCCCAUGUGUGAUGUCCAGGAUGUCAGCGAAGUAAAGAAACUGCUCCCCAAAGCCUCCAAUCUCCAACUUCAAGCAGCAUUCUCACACUUUGUACUCAAAGGAUGGUAACUGCUGCUGCUGUAUUAUACUAUUUCAGAUUCCAGCUAAAUGGUUCUCCAUUUUCUGAAUGUCCUCAUUAUUACUGUCUUUUGAUUUUUAUAAAAUCAAGUUUUUAUCUAUCAAUGUCUAUGUCUAUGUCUCAGUGUGGCGAGGGCUGUGACAAGCCAAGGUGACUAGUCUGGAUGCUGUGCUUGUGCCGAUAGAUGGGUUUUUCUUAGCUUUUAUUUUUAUUCCAGGUGGAGCGAUAUGGGGAGGCCUGGAGAGGGAGAUGAAAGCCGAUCAAAGCCACCCCUUCUGCUGUCAGCUAGAAGGAAAUUGACAAAUCUUUUACUCCAUCAGAAAAUUCAGCUUAAAAAAAUCAUUUAAAGAGAUCCAGAACCCAACCACUUCUCAUGACUUCCACCCCCACGUCCUAGUCCAAGCCAUUGUCCCCAUGGCCAUGUCCUCCAAACUGGUCUUCCUGCUUCCACAUUUACUUUUUGCCAUACAGAAGUCAAAGUUAUCUUCUUAAAAAACAUUGGUUUGGUAUUUUUACAAUCUGGCUUAAAAUGCUCCCAUGAGUUCCGUAAGUACUUAGAACAAAACCCAUUCUGGUUCCUGCUGUCUACCAAGCACCACAUGGCCUAGAAGUCACCACCUCCCUGGCCUCCUCACCUGUUUCCCUCUUCCAUGCUCUGCUGCCCAGCCAUGUUGGUUGCUUGAGGCUCCUUGAACAAAUCAAGCCCAUUAGUAUUUUAUGGCCUUUGCCUCUGCUGUUUCCUCUGCCUGGAAUGCUGGCUCCACAUGCAUCCACAUGUAAAUUAGGAGAACGGCCCCUAAAAGAUGUCCAUGCUCUAAUUUCUGGAACCUGGGAAUAUAAUAAGAUUAACCUGAGUUAUUUCGGAGGAUACAAUGGAAUCUCAUUAGCCUUGAAUAACAGAAAAGAAUGGCCAAAAAGUCAGAGAGAUUUGAAGCUCUGGAAGGAUUCAAUGUGCCUUCUGUUUGGGCCAUGUGGAAAGUGAGAAGGAAACGAAUUCUACUAAUACCAGAAGCUUGGAAGAGGACUCCGAGCUCCAGGGAUGCAGAGAGACUAUAUGGCUGGAUCGAAGUGACAGAAGGGGGUAGCAUGUUAUCAAAUCAGAAGGCCAUGGAGGGAACAGAUGCUGCACGCUGUGAAGCCAUGGUGAAGUCUCAAGAUGGCCCACCCUCACCUUUGGGGCAGAGACUGGGAGGCUGUGCUGGAGCAGGUUCUCGGCGGGAGACAGGAAGCAG
rnacentral:lncRNA from 1 species